ACCCAUUCCACAAAAGGAAGGAGAGCACUGAAGGGGGAGGUCCAUGGGAAGAGUCAGGAGUGGCAGGAAAAGUGUCAGCGAGUAAAGCCAGCUAGAAAGAAGAAAGUGCUCUUAGGAAAAUCACACGGAAGAUAAAACACAUUUCCGGCGCUGGACUAUAAAAGCAUCCACAUAGAGAGACAGAGUGACCAGACCAACCAGAAGCGACUGCUGGCAGGUGGACGGACAGAAUGGAACCCGUCCGGGCACUUCUGAGCUGGGACUGUGGACACAGAGAGAGAGAAAAAGUGCAAGAAGGGAAGGCGCAAAGAGAGAGGGAGACACAGAACUGAAACAGGCUCCAGGCUCUGAGCUGUCAGCACGGAGACCCAAUGCGGAACUUGACCCGACAAACCUGGAGAUCAUGACCUGAGCCGAGGUCGGACGCUUAACCGGCUGAGCCACCCAGGCGCCCCACCUAAUUCACAUUUUUAUUUAUUUGGGAUUUAGGCUUUUCCCCCUAAAAAGACUUCAAGCAUUAAAUGACGUGGGAGACUUCAGGAUUAAAAAUAGAACAGAGGCCAUGCGGAGAUCUUACCUUGCGCCGGAGCCGACCCUCGGGUCCUCGAGUCGGUGUUGACUUUCAAGGGAGGUGAGGUCAAAGGAGAAGCACAGGGGCCUUCUGGGCCAGGAUUGGAGGGGGGGGGGUAACCGCGUGGCGAGCUACAGCCAGGCUGGGACCCGGAGGCUGCUUUUUGCAUUCCAGCCUCACAUUCCCAGGGGUUGUUACCUCAGUUUACAUACGUGGCAACAGAUUCAACGAAGCGAGCAUGGUGACCGCUGCCCCUCAGCUUGUUAAGUGGCAAAGCUGGGACCUCCCCCUUGCAUCCUUCCGUCUCCCUCCGGUGACAAACACGACUUUUAUUUUCUGGUCCAGCGGCCAUACCCACCUGUUGGCAGAGAGAAGGUUUUUUGUUUUUACCCCUUGAGCUUAAACACAUCAGAGUGUGCCAAAUGAGCCGGGACCACAAUGGGCCGUGGUUUCCACAAUAGUUGCGCAGGCCCCAGAGCAGGUGGGUGUGUGGCACACCGCGCCAGGGGUGGAGGGUAGAGAGCAAACUUCCUGGAGACGGGAGCGAAACUGGUUCAGUCCUAUUGUUUCCUAAUGAUUUCCUCCACUCUGGCCACACUGGCCUCCUUGACGUCCUCUAACAUACCAAACAUACUCCUACCCCCGGGCUUUUGCACCUGCUGUCCUUCUCCCUGGAACACGGUUCCUUGAUAACAUCAAGGCUCAUGUCAACCCCUCCUUCAAGUCUCUGCCCCAAAUGAGUCUUCAAGGCGCCUACCCUGACCUCUCGAUUUACAGUUGCAUCCGCUCUUCACCACAACCCGGAUCUCUCUCUUUUUUUUUUUUUUAUAAUUUUU